UACACAUGCAAGUCGAGCGGUAGAGAGAAGCUUGCUUCUCUUGAGAGCGGCGGACGGGUGAGUAAUGCCUAGGAAUCUGCCUGGUAGUGGGGGAUAACGUUCGGAAACGGACGCUAAUACCGCAUACGUCCUACGGGAGAAAGCAGGGGACCUUCGGGCCUUGCGCUAUCAGAUGAGCCUAGGUCGGAUUAGCUAGUUGGUGGGGUAAUGGCUCACCAAGGCGACGAUCCGUAACUGGUCUGAGAGGAUGAUCAGUCACACUGGAACUGAGACACGGUCCAGACUCCUACGGGAGGCAGCAGUGGGGAAUAUUGGACAAUGGGCGAAAGCCUGAUCCAGCCAUGCCGCGUGUGUGAAGAAGGUCUUCGGAUUGUAAAGCACUUUAAGUUGGGAGGAAGGGCCAUUACCUAAUACGUGAUGGUUUUGACGUUACCGACAGAAUAAGCACCGGCUAACUCUGUGCCAGCAGCCGCGGUAAUACAGAGGGUGCAAGCGUUAAUCGGAAUUACUGGGCGUAAAGCGCGCGUAGGUGGUUUGUUAAGUUGGAUGUGAAAUCCCCGGGCUCAACCUGGGAACUGCAUUCAAAACUGACUGACUAGAGUAUGGUA
rnacentral:rRNA from 1 species